UCAUAGAAUAUAAAAGACGGCAAGUAUCGUUAAGAAAUGCUAACUUUGAUGCUCGGCUUGUUGGCCAUGUUCAUUUGAACAAAAUAUUGUAGAAAAGAUACGCAUGGCAUAAAUAACGAUAGUAACCAUGGAAAUAAUGCUUAGUCAUCGUGGUUUAAGUACGGAUAAUUAAAUUAAGAAGGGUGAUUUUAGUUGAAAUAAUGAGUCCUCGAAUGAUUAUAGUAUGCGUAUGGAGAUGUAUCGACCCCUCCUAUGAGUUUAAAGGUAAUCGAAAGUAAUGAUAGUAAUGGAAUGUUUAGGAUGGCUCAUAGUGGACAAAAUGAAAGAUAGCAUAUGAUGUAUGAGUAGUGUGAAAUAAAUUGAUUUAUUUCUAUUAGCAAAUAUAUGAAUGUAAUAUGCUCAAAUAGGAAAUUAGAAGCAAACUGUAGACUUAGGUUUGCUCGAUUAAUAAUUGUAUACGAUUGGAAUAAUUCGAUGAAUUAAACGCUAGUGAUGGUAUGCGCUAAGAGCUAGCAUUAUAAAGUAAAAGAGACUAAUAAGAGCUUUUGAUAAGACUCCGACUUUUAUGUGAUUAUAAAAGUAUAUUAUUGUAAUAUAGCUUAAGAAGGUAGGUACAUUAUCUGCCAUGAUGUCUAAUUAAGAAUAAGACCGUUAGCCAGGAUCCUGAAGGUAUGCGUAUUAUAGUAUGCUCUUCGAAUGAGUACAGGGAGUUGGUAGGAGAAUAAGUGUGAAAGGUUUCGGGGACGAAACCUUCUUCAAGGGGGGUAGACUUGUAACGCCCCAAAAACCCAAAUGUUAAAAAUUUCAAGAAUGACUUAUUUUUAUAUGGUGUGACAUUAAGGUAACUGAGUUAGCGAACUUGGUUUUAAAUACAAGUUAGUAUGUGAAACGAAAUAAAUGACAAGUUUUAAAAGUUUGAUGGGUUAAAAAGAAAAUGUGUUAAAUAAAACACUUUACAAAAAAAAAUGUCAGUAUCUUGGGGGGUUCUAUGCGUGCGAUCGAGAACAGGGCCAAGAGAAGAGCCAAAAACCCUAACAACCAAAAAUCAUCAAAUUGAUAAGGAGAUCAAGGGAAAAAUCGAAUGCAGGGGUCUGGAUACUCUUUAAUCUAAGUGUAUUGAUCAUAAGGUUGUACGAAUCACGGGUGGUUAUCACGAGGAAUAGAGCUCGAAGAGCGAGUCACAAGCUAGAUUGUACGGGAAUAACUGAAUAUGUAUUAUUAGUAAUCAGGGCUUAUGCUUGAUUUUUUUGUAAAAGAUACUUAUUAAAACGUACUUUCAAGUAAGUCAUGACAUUAAUAAUGAAAGAAAUUUUAUGGCACGAGUU